UACGUAGGGUGCAAGCGUUAUCCGGAAUUAUUGGGCGUAAAGAGCGUGUAGGCGGCUUGGCAAGUCUGACGUGAAAGCCCGCGGCUCAACCGCGGAUUGUCGUUGGAAACUGCCUCGCUAGAGUCCGGAAGAGGAGAGCGGAAUUCCUGGUGUAGCGGUGGAAUGCGCAGAUAUCAGGAAGAACACCCGUGGCGAAGGCGGGUCUCC
rnacentral:rRNA from 1 species